AAUAUCUAACACUAAAAACACUAGCAAUAAUAGUCAAAAUGACUGAUUCUAUAAUUUUAUAAAUGUGUCAACCCUCGUUUAGGGAUCCCAGAUGGAUUAAUAAUAAGAAAAGUGUACUACAUAACAUUGAAUUGCUUCUGUAAGAAAGUAAUAGAUCAAUAAAUAUAAAAGUAUUCUAUUAUUACGUAUUUUCUAAAGACCAGUCAUUUUCACUGGUUUUGGUAACAAUAGCUUCGUGUUAACUGUCGUUAGUUCUAGUGUUAAUAGCGCUUUGCUCCGACGAAUUCCAUAAACUGCAAGCUCCACGAAACGUUUAACGAAUAUCGAAAUUAAUAAUAAAUAUCGAGUUGAAAAAAAUCGAGCGUAAUGGUUUGUUUUUUAGCCACCCGGUAGAUUACACGGCCGGUUUAACGCAGGAAAGCUACUUAUUCCCCGUCGGACCGGAGCCUCGCCGGCAAUCAUACGGCAUUAACACUUUAACCUACUCGCUCUCAAAGCUCUUACCAUUUCAGCCGUGGCACUCUCUUUUGAACGGUCAAUAUGGUAGGCAUAUUUGAAUAUUCGUGUGUAUACAAGAGUCUUCGAAAUAAUUAUCGAUCACGGCGGGUAAAAGACGAAACAGAAUAAUAAAGAGUAUACAUUAGUAUUGCAAUAAGAACAACGGAACGGUUUUGUCUUCAUUUUUAGAAUUUAUAUUCAGCUAGAAUCAAACAUACGAUAAUCACUUAUUAUUCACGUUAUAGUACCACGUCAGAAUAAUUUACUUAUAAUUCUCAAUGAGAAUUGAUUGUAAAUUACUUCCAGAUAAAAGAAAAAAAUUUUUUUUUAGAGUAGCAUUUAGUAGGAAAACAUCGAUCAGAGAAGCGGUAUGUAUAUACGUAAUGGGGAAAACCCAUCGAGAGUACGAAGAACGAAGGGUACUAUGUAAAUUUGCGUAUAAUUAUUUAUAUUAGGUUGUCGGAAAAGCGUCUUUCUUUUACAGACACGUAUUUUACAACGACGCAUCUUUAUACAAACAUGAAACCUAAUCUGUCGCACGUUGCAAAAAAAUGUUGUGCAUCCUUGUUGUUUCCUUGUAAAACGAAGGAAACCUUUCGGACGAUUUAAUUUCGAAUUUCCUCCUCUGCAAGUAUUUCUUAAUGAUUGGAGAAAAAGAACUGCCAAAAUUGCGUUUCUAUUUGGUGUUAAAUAUUAAUAAACGCGUGUAUUCUCAUUCGCCCAAAGAUUUCCAAAAUAUCGUUUGCCGUGAUACGAAGAUAUCGAGAAUAUUGAAAUAUUGCCUGGCUCGAUAAUUAUGCCGUCGAGUUCAUGGGGGAAAAAAUCAAGAUUAAAUUUUGUUUUUAUGACACCGUAUAUAACUGCGAUUGCCGCGACGGCGAACCGCAAGAGAGCAACGCAGCUACCGUGGAAACUGAAAACCCGGCUUAAUGGACCUUCCUGAAGGGUACUUAACCCUCAUCAGCGCUGGUCACCUGGUUAAAAGUUACGCAGAUGUGGCCUUAAUCCGGCUGAAUGCAAGAAAGCGUUGCAUUAACCACUAAAGCGAUCGGUCGUUGAGUGUUCCCCUUAAUGGAUCCUUCCAGGGAACCGUUUAGCGCCGAUUAGCCCAGAUCGUUCGCGUUCUUAUCAUUGUUUUCGGUCGUCACUCGUGUGAACGAACCUUCGAGGGUCUGUCUUUUGCUUCUUAAACCUCGUGCAUUUUUAUGUUUACGGACAAAAUGUAACACCGGAGGAAGAUCGAGCGACGCGAGGAGAAGAACGAAUAGGAAUUUCUUUUUUCUUUUAUUAUUUAAUUUGUACUUUGCAAUUUGUCCAACUGGAUAUUUGGUAAAUUACAAAUACGAAUGAGGAUUAUUUAUAACCCUUUGCACUGCUAUGUCGACUGUGACUCGACGUCAGUUUUUAUCUCAGCAGCUCCUUUGUCGAGUCCCACUCGACAUUCUUCCAGUCGCACCUUUUUUCGCACGUUUCACGUGCGAAAGAAAACAAGGAUUGCAUCCUGGAAAUUGUUUCAAGAUGUAUCAUACACUUAAAAAUUAGAAAAUACAAUAGUGUGGAUAAAACUGGUAUUUAAGUGAAUUUCUUUCUUCCUUUAUUUAUUUAAAUCGUCUUACUUUUUAAUUAAAGUAAAUUUUAAAUAAAACACUUAAGAGUGUUGGGAACCGCCGCUAACAAAAUUGAAAUAAAAUUCGAAGUGCAAAGGGUUAAGCGUUCGGAGAAAGGAAGAAGUUGGAAAGGAGAGCCUAUUAACCGAAGUCACGAAAUCGAGGACAGCGAUCAACAAUUUUGUAAUCGCCGAGUUUUGGAGAAUUAAUUGGCAAUAAUAAGCUAAAUUUCGUAGAUGAAACGAAGAUAUUAAACGUUAAAUAUUAAACGUUGAACAUUAAUUAUUAGAUAUUAAAUAUUAGUCGCUUAUUGCCACAAACGUUCAAUCGAUAGAAACGUACGACGUCUGUAUCGCGAAGCAAGAUAUUCAUACGCGUGAAAUUUCGAAAUUUCCAAAUCUUUUCGUGGAAAUAAAUAAAAAUGGUAAGUUUGUUCGAUCGAUAAAUGGAUGACGAUUACAUGGAAAUUACGAUCGUAUAGCAAAAUUCGUAGCCUUUUGUGAAGUCUACCUAAUCGUUAUAUCGUCGUUACGCUGUAGCUGUGGCAUCUCGUUUAGAAGGAUUUAUGGGUGAAGAGGUAAAUGAUACUUAUUUCCUAACUAAUGACGAAACGAAUCUUUCGAAGCUGUUGAGUAAAGAUAUAGGCGGACGGUAGAAUUAUGGAGCACGUUAAUUCCAGGUAUUUAUCAUUUUCAUACCUACUAUUGUAUUUAUUAUUAAUUAUUACACUAUACAGUCUGUUUAUAGCAAAUAUUAAUAAUUUCCCGGUCAGCGUAUAAAAUUCAUCAAUUCCAAUCUACUUUCGCACAUGUGCGCAAGAAAGAUUUUCUAACUGCAAAAAAGCCGACACAUAACUCUCAAACAUUUUCAUCAAACUACCGUGUAAUUUUCUCUUAACGUGUCUAAUGAUACCCAAGACGUAAUAAAAGAUACUUUAAAAAAUCAAUUUCUUUUUGAACGUAAAUAUCUUUCGAAAGACUGCCAUAAUGUUUAACAAAAAGACAGUUUUGGUAAUAUGUGAUAACGUUUUGCGUUUUGAAAUUGCCGCUAAAUGAAAAACAACAAAAUGUCACUCAUCGCGUUUCUCCACUCUGGCCUUCGAUCGAUUUCAUCGUACAAUUUCAUCGUCGAUCGAACACAGCGCAAAUUGCGAAUCGUGCGCUGCACUCUAAAAAACGUUCGUCAGAAAUGGCACGUCAACGAAGUGGCGCUCUUAAUUAACGAAAGGAUCGUGCAUCCACGUGCACUCAAGCUCACUAACACAAGUUCAAACGCGUUGUGCGUAUGCCAGUGCAAUUAACAUAGUGCGGGGGCAGACUCCCCUGACAAAGGAUAAUCGCUUUCACCCUAUUCUCCCGUGGCGGCCUUACAACUUCUGAAUGUUAUUAAACGUAAUUUAAUAUCUGGCCGUGCCCAACGUGGAUCCCUCGCUGGAAUUUACAACCGAGGACAGGACGAUGUCCUAUUAAAUUGUGCGGCCUGUGGCCGUUAGCCGUGUGCCGUUUCGACAGCAAGCGAUUCCUAUGGCCUCGUCGCGCCACGUGGGCGGCAUCCGUUUCACUUUCUUCGAAGCAGGAAGAGCUUACAGAGCGUUGCGUAACUUCAAUCAACUUUUGUAUACGGUGUAUUCGUGAUUUUACGCUUUUAUAUUUUUUUUCCUUUUCCCUGUUACUUGGUUUCAUUGCGUAAGCAUUAUUCAUACAGAAUGAUUACGAGUGCUGACAGAUACUAUCGGGCCAAGUUACGCAGAAACCUAUCAAAUCUGGACAUGUGAAAGGAUUAGUCAGCGCAGUACGGAUUCCAUAAUUUUGUGAUCUUCGUUUAGCGAGAAAUGAAACAACCCGUGGAACGAUCUUUACGUUACGCGUUUGUCGAAACUACCAAAGCAUAGUUUCAAUUUAGGCUUGUAAUUAUUUUGCAGGGAACUUCCGAACCACGUAUUAAUUAUGCUACUCACUGUGGCGUAAAGAUAAUGUAUAUGUUUCAAUCCAUGGAACCAAGUCCAAUUUCUAGGCUAAUAGGCUGAAACGGGUAAACUGUUGCCGCUACUGCUCGUUAUUAAAUAAGAGCGCCAUUAAGAAGAACAUCGUAAAACGACAGGUUUGUUAGUUUCUUUUAAAAAUUCGCUCGUACAAAAUUCGUAAGGUCGUUUUGCCGACAUAAAUGAGUUGAAACGGGCUUGAAAGGAGGCUGGGUAGUUAGGACGCGCGUCAACUUUCACGUGGUGAGAUCUGGACAUUCGUUAAUCGAUAUAUAAUUACUAAUUACAUCCAAUUAAUACCAAUUAAUUCAUCAAACUGUUACUAACGUUCUCGUUCAUCUCUCAAAUUAUAAAUUGAGAUUUUUCGCUGGCGCGUGACAAAGUAAUACUAUUCUCCAACCGAAUGAUUCGAUUCUUCAAAGUAACUUCCAUUACGUUAGACGAUCCUCUUCUGCGAUAAUUCUGUACUUGAAAAAUAUAAAAGAUAAAAGAAUCAUCGAUGGAGUUAGUAUCGUAAUGCCAAGUAUGCGGGCUCCUUAUACCGUAAAAUUUCAAACGACGUAGCAAUUCGUAAAGGUUCCUACAAUUUCCUAACGAUUAUAGGGGUCUACCUGAUCUUCCGUAAAUUUACACGAGCCUAAUACCUUGCAUCUUCCCUAACGAGAAAAACCACAAUCUCGAUAUAUCUUUCGCAGAAGGGCGGCGCCUGCUCUUCUUAGGCUCGCGAUAAAUAUCGUUGACCGGUUAGGGUAAAUAAUUGAUCAGGAUAAGGACGAGCAAUUAACGAGGCUAUCGGUCGAUUCGUGGAAAGAAAUGGAGGACAAUCACGCAACGGGCAACCGUGAGAUUUCUUAGUCGCGAUAAAUCUCCCGUUUUCUCCCCUCUAUACCAUUCUUCUCCUCUCUUCUGGCAUCAGUUUCUCUUUCACGAGUACCGUUAGGGGCAUGUAAGUGCGGCUAAGUUUAUUAGAGCAAUUUCCAACACCGACGACAACAAUGGUCUGAACGACGAACGAUAAGGGGAGAGAAAUGCAUCGAGAAAGUUGCCUACUAUCCAAGAGGGUUUCCAUGACGACCCAUUAUCCGAAAGGCCAUAAUUGCCGCGGUCCCUCGUUGCGGCUCUGGUAAUUAUUGCCUUUCGUUUUCACUUUGUAAUCGCGGCGUUCUUCUUUAAAACUUUGGAAUUCUUCCCGGUUCUUUUAUAUCGCCGCGAAAGUUUGAUUGGAUGGGUUAUUAACCUUGGUAUUCCCCUUGGGCAAUUUUUAAUACCGUCCUGUUGGUCCAGCUUUUUCCUAGAACUUUGUUUUAGAGCUCACCGACUUUACGAUACUGUUUUAUAACAUUUCCUAUACGCGCGUAUUUUAUAAUACCUUACAGCACAACUUUCAGUUUCGUAACGAUCUGACGAGCCUUGAAAUUAGUAUUUGUGGAAUUUAUUGGUUAAAAAUGAUCGUAAAAGUAGCACGGCUCGAAUAAAUUUCGCGUGAAGAGCGAAACAAUGUUUGCGAGCUUAUAAACAAAUCACGUAGACGCGUAACGUUGACGAGAGGAAUAGAAUCUACGAAACAAUGGUUGCUGCGUGUCCCUUGCUUUUCUCUUAUCUUUACCGUUUCGAGUAAAAGCAGGUAACAGGCGCGGCAACUUUUGUUACUUGGAAACGAGAAGAAACAGGGAGAAAAAUUGGAGGAACUAGAACCAAGGACUUCCUAUCGAGUCAAGAGCGUCUCUCCUGUUUCGUACCAUUCGUACGCGCGCAAAACUCCAUUUACUCGGACGUAUUCCUUCAUCACGAUUUUUCGGUAAUUUUAACAAAGAAUUCAACGAACCAAAACGUUUCUUUCUUGCGUCAGGAUUAAGCACUCGAUAUAAUUAAGUUCCAACGUUCUGACGGUCUUCUCACGCUUGUUCAAGCAACGUGCAACAUCAACGAAACUCGUAGUUGCUUCUCAGCGGGCACCUAAUUUAAAGCUUAACCAGAAGAAAAAGUGCGUAAACUGGCGCGAUAAAUCCUGGAAACAAUUGAACAACCUCGAAAACGCGCUCUUCAACGUUCAAACAGCCCGAACGUUGCCUAGUUCCCUGGAAGCACAACGAGCAACGUUUCAACAAAGAGUACAUAGGCGUAAGCCUGGCACCUCGUAAUUGGCGCUCAGUCGUACGAUCUACGAUCGUGAUGUUCGCACGCGAUAACGAUAAAUCUCGAGGAAAUAAGGUAGAAUUGGAGGCAGGGUUAACCGAGAGUGAGAGAGAGAGAGAGAGAGAGAGAAUGAAAGAGAGAGAGAGAAAGAAUGUCAUGGCACGCAUGAGUCUUAUGAAUUCUUUCACGAAACGAACAGGCCUGUCGCGCGCAGCCCGCAGGAGCGUAACAACGGUCUGCUCUUUCGUAAAUUAUUUUCUGUAGCUCUGUGGAUGUAGCGAAAAGAGAGAAAGAGACGGAGGUGGAGGACAGUUAAAAAGAAGGCGAAAAUCGGAGUACAAACAGAAUCGGAUGAGAGGUGGACUAAGGGAAUCGAGGGGCAAGGGUUUCCACGAGUGUUUAGCCUUGACAUUCGCCUCCCACAUCCUGUCAGCCGAACAGUGGCUCUCAUAUCAAGUCGACGCUCGCGCCCAAUUGCUUCUUCCGCGAGCAAAUUUUGUUGACGUUGGAAUUUUCUAGCAAAUUGCGAGAAUUAUCGUCUCGUGCUAUUGUUAUAUCGUUCCUCGAAAUGUCCCUGUCGUGUUCGAUGGCUUGGGAUGGCUUCCCUUUUCCAACUCCGGUGCCGUUUUAUGGCGUAGAAUAAAGAGGACGUUGCUUUUUUUAUGGAAUUGAUCGCUCGAGGUAUGUAUUUUGGUAGAAGUGGUGUUUCGCUGGGUGGAGAGUUCUCUCCAGGUACGAAAUAAUUCGACCGUGAAACUCUGUCGUCGCAUUGUAAAUUACAGCGAUGUGUUGUUUAGUUAGUUUACGAAGAAUUUGAAUAUUUUAUUUGUUUUAAACGUUUAAAUGUACGUAAAUGAGAACUGAUGGCAAUAAAAUAGAACAAAAAGCAAUUUUUCUGCUUGGAGCUAGUCGGUUCAUCUUCCUCGACAAUUUCUUCAUUUGCAUAUUUUUUCUUCUGCGUUUCAGCGUUUCACCUUGGCUUCCACCGGACGUUUUCCUGCUUAAAACGCCUGCAAACAUUUAUUCUCGGACGGCAGUUCUUUUCUUUCCAAAAAUGUUAAUAGGAGGAAGAAGAAUUUGCAUUACAACGAUAACAUUUUAAGAGAACGUCCUGUUUAUGAAAUAGUAAACCGCGGAGGCAAGAAAAGAUCUUGGCUGGAACAAAGUUCAGUCUCGGACUUAGUAUCGAGUCUAAAAACAUUCGCGCGCAAACUAUCGGAUAACCUCAAACAUUUCAUUUUGAAAUAUCAACCCUAUAGUCAACGUUAUUGCACUUUAUUUCAAAUUACUAUUUACGUAUAAUAUUAUUAUUAGAAGAUAUAAUACACGAUAUGUGACACAGAUUAAAAGUAACAAAUCUUAGCUAGAAAUAACAUUUGCAAAACGAAUCAUUCGAUUCUCCAGUUCAUGUUCUCCAUCUUUUUCGAUCCUCUCGAUUUCUGUUUCGAAAAUACUGAAAAUUUUAUUGCCUUUGCAGGAUAAAUUCCACGUUUCUAAAACACUGAAAACUCGCUCUUUCUCCUUACGUAAGCCGUUAAAACGUUAAAACCAAACCUUUCUCCUUACAUAAACCGUUAAACGUAAAAAUAAAAAAAUCCUAACACGAUAAAAACAAUCUUACGAAUAUACGAGGCAAACAACCAGUAAAUAACAAGAAAAACAAAAGAAAUAGAAAGAAGCUGUUUGAAUUAUUAUGAGGAUAGAAACGAGCAAGAUCCUCUUGAGAAACGACAAAUAAAAAAUCUCGAUUUAAAAAACAUCCGGCAACGAGAGCGAAUUAAGAACGAAUCGCGCAACGAAACACGAUCGCGAUUUCGUGGAAGAACGGUACUUUUCAGCUUGAACGUGGCCGGUCCUUAAAAGAAAACGUGCCAAGGACAGCAGCGAUCAACGACGAUUCUCUCUCUCUCUCUCUCUCUCUCUCGUCUUCUCUUCUCGUCUCUCGUGGUCGAGAUCGGUCGUUUAUUAAUUUACAUGCGGACUCGGCCGAAGGCGCCAGCCGGAUGGAGAACCGGAGGAGGAUCGACGACGAUGACGCGUUUAGUCGUUGCACUACCACGCUUCUGCUCUUCCGAGUUGCUCGCCUAUAAACAUCGAUGAUAUCGUCGAACAAUAAAAUCAAAAUCGAACAAGGAUUAUUUCGUCCUUUCGUCAACUGCGUGUGCGCUCUGCGACGGUAUAGAACAGCGGACUUUAAAACGAACCAACUUCCUUCCACGUAACUGCGAUACAAUUUCGGUCGUGGAAAAUAGCCAGCAAAUAGUUGGAAAACUGUUUUUUAAAAGCAUUGUUUAUCCGACGACGCGACGAGUUCGUGGAAUCGAGCGUUUUCUAUGGAAAAUCUCAACUCGCGGUGUCUUCAGCGCAACACAUGCUCCGAGUCGUUUAUUUCCUGGCAGCUUCUGAAAUUUAUUCAUUCAC